AAUGUCAACUAAACCAAACAAAGGCUCACCGGUGGAAGUUAGAAGCAGUGAAGAAGAAGAAAAGAUCGAUAGCGGUUGUUACUGUCUCUGUCUUCAUAUCUCUUCAUUUCUGUUUCUCUUUCUUCUAAUUUGUUUAUAUUUUCAAACAAAUUCGUUAUAACCUUUGCCACCGCCCCCUCCCCUCCCCGCCACGUUCUUUUCUUUUCCUUUAAUCUUAAUCCGAGCUCAUUAAGCUUGCAGUUGAGAUUACUCUGUUUUCAGAGAUAUUAAAUUGAAAAAGGAAACGAAGCUCAGAUUUCUGUUUCUUCAUCUGCAUUUUGCUUCGGAUUUUUUUCCUUUGUUGGAGUUGUUACAAAUGGAGGUAGCCGAGAACUGCUCGGUGAAAGUAGCAGUUCAUAUUAGGCCGUUAAUCGGCGAUGAACGAACUCAAGGUUGUAAAGAAUGUGUUACUGUUACUAAAGGAAAGCCUCAGGUGCAAAUUGGGACACAUUCCUUUACAUUUGACCAUGUUUAUGGAAAUGGUGCUUCUCCAACUUCUAUGUUUGAAGAAUGCGUUGCUCCUCUUGUUGAUGGUUUAUUCCAAGGAUACAAUGCUACUGUACUUGCUUAUGGCCAGACAGGAUCUGGGAAAACAUAUACCAUGGGAACAGCCAUCAAAGAUGGUAGCGAGACAGGAUUGAUUCCUCAAGUUAUGAACUCGUUGUUCAAGAAAAUUGAAACAUUGAAGCAUCAAACAGAAUUCCAGCUACAUGUUUCAUUCAUAGAGAUCCUGAAGGAAGAAGUGAGGGAUUUACUGGAUUCUGAACCUGUAAGCAAACCUGCUACUCCUAAUGGAAAUGCCGUGAAAGCCACAGUUCCUGGAAGACCACCCAUACAAAUUCGUGAAUCAUCAAAUGGAAUUAUAACACUGGCUGGAUCUACUGAAGUUGCAGUCAGUACUCUACAAGACAUGGCUGCUUGCCUGGAGCAAGGAUCAGUAAACAGGGCAACUGGGAGCACAAAUAUGAAUAACCAGUCCAGUCGGUCCCAUGCCAUCUUUACGAUCACGUUAGAACAAAUGCACAAAAUCCAAUUAGUUUCUGCUGUCAAUGACACUCCGGAUGAAGAUAUGGGUGAAGAGUUUUUAUGUGCGAAGCUCCAUUUGGUAGAUCUUGCUGGAUCUGAACGAGCUAAAAGAACAGGUUCUGAUGGUCUUCGGUUGAAAGAAGGUAUACAUAUUAACAGAGGGCUUCUUGCACUCGGCAAUGUAAUCAGUGCUCUUGGGGAUGAGAAAAAGCGUAAAGAAGGUGUGCACGUUCCUUAUCGAGACAGUAAACUGACUCGACUCUUGCAGGAUUCACUUGGUGGAAACAGCAAAACGGUUAUGAUAGCUUGUAUAAGUCCUGCAGACAUCAACGCAGAGGAAAGUCUUAAUACCCUGAAAUAUGCUAACCGUGCUCGCAAUAUCCAGAAUAAGCCUGUUGUUAAUAGAGAUUUAGUAUCCAGUGAGAUGCAAAAAAUGCGUCACCAGCUGCAGUAUUUACAAGCUGAACUUUGUUCUCGAGAAGGGCCUACUUCAGAUAUAAAGAGUCUCAAAGAAAGGAUUGCUUGGCUGGAGGCUACUAAUGAGAAUCUUCACCGAGAACUUCAUGACUACCGCAGCAAACGUGCUGUGGUAGAGUGUUGUGAUGCCGGUGCUCAGGAAGACCAUUCAUGUUUUUUGAAAAAUGAUGGACACAAGAGGGCCAUUCAGUGUAUGGACUCAUCAGACUAUAAAAUGGAUGAAGUAUUGUCAGAUGAAAAUCCAGAAGAAAUUGACGAAGUAGCAAAACAAUUGGAGCAUGCAGUUUGGCAGAAUAACAUGGAUAGAGAAUUGAAAGAGUUGAACAAACGCUUGGAGCAGAAAGAGUCUGAGAUGAAACUUGUUGGAGGAGCUGACACUGAAGCACUAAAGCAGCACUUUCAGAAGAAAAUCACGGAACUUGAGGAGGAAAAAAGAAUUGUGCAGCAAGAAAGAGAUCGUUUGUUAGCUGCAGUUGAGAACCGUGUAGCUAAUUCUGAUUCAAAAAUGCAAAAAGAACAAGAGAUCAAUGUGCAGAAACUAAAAGCACUUGAGGCACAGAUUUCUGAUCUCAAGAAGAAACAGGAAAACCAGGUUGAGCUCCUAAAGCAGAAGCAGAGAAGUGAAGACGCUGCAAAACGGUUGCAAGCAGAAAUACAGUUCAUUAAGGGUCAAAAAGUUCAAUUGCAGCACAAGAUAAAACAAGAGGCAGAACAAUUUCGACAAUGGAAGGCCAAUCGUGAAAAGGAGUUGUUGCAGCUUAAAAAGGAGGGAAGGAGGAAUGAGUUUGAAAGACAUAAACUCGAAGCCCUGAAUCAACGCCAAAAAAUGGUUCUUCAAAGGAAAACAGAAGAGGCAGCAAUGGCUACCAAAAGGCUGAAAGAGUUGUUAGAAGCACGAAAGUCUUCUAUACGUGAUAACUCAGUUAAUCACAAUGGACAUACACCAAAUGGACAGAGCAAUGAAAAAUCUGUGCAAAGGUGGCUUGAUCAUGAGCUAGAAGUAAUGGUGAAUGUGCGUGAAGUUCGUUUUGAAUAUGAGAAACAGAUCCAAGUGAAAACUGCUUUGACAGAGGAGUUAACCUUAUUGAAACAAGUGGAUCAGUUGUCUUCAACUGGUGGGAUGCCUCACAGAGUAAACAAUCAACAUUCUAGAUUGUUAUCUAUGUCACCAAAUGCAAGAAGGGAAAGAAUAGCCUCCCUUGAGAACAUGCUUAGCAUGUCAUCAAAUGCAUUGACGGCGAUGGCUUCACAACUCUCGGAGGCAGAAGAAAGGGAGCGUGGUUUGGUCGGUCGUGGGCGGUGGAAUAAAGUACGCUCAAUAAAUGAUGCAAAGAACUUGCUUCAAUACUUGUUUAAUGCUACUGCAGAAUCAAGGUGCCAGUCGCGGGAGAAAGAUAUGGAAAUUAAGGACCUCAAACAGCAGUUGAAGGAUCUCACAGCUCUAUUAUGGGAAAGUGAGGCGCAGAAAAAGGAGCUUGUGAAGGAGCAAAAGAUGAGGGAGCAAGCUAUUGCUAUUGCCUUGGCUACAUCAGCUACGGGCAAUUCUCGCAGUUCAUCUAAACACUUUGCAGAUGAUUUGAGUGGUCCCCUUUCACCGGUGUCGCUCCCAGCCUCCAAGCAACUGAAAUUUACACCUGGGUUUGUUAAUGGGUCUAUUAGAGAGUCGGCAGCAUUUCUAGAUCUGACACGAAAGAUGGUACCAGUUGGACAUUUGUCAAUGAAGAAAUUGACAACCAAGGGUCAAACUGGAAAACUCUCGAGGUGGAAGAGAAGUCAUCACCAAUGGCUACUCCAAUUCAGGUGGAAGUGGCAGAAGCCAUGGAAACUAUCAGAAUGGAUCAAACACAGCGAUGAAACGAUCAUGAGAUCAAAGCCCCGAUCACUGACCUUGAUUGACCGGAUGUGAUAAAAAGCUCAUAGUGGCCAACGUUUUUGUCCUGCAUAUACAUCUUGACUGGAAAAUGGAUCUGCGUGGCUCACCAAAAAAAUAAAUGCAGGCAUGGUGUAAAUAGGGAAGAGGUUGCUACUACCAUAGUCUUACUGCAUGUGUCUAAACAGGAAGCUUAUGCAACCUUAGCAUGGUGACAAAGGACUUUGUGGUUUGAAACAGAUGUUUCAUUGGUUGUAGUUUUCCGCUUUAUUUGUUUUCUUUCUUUUUUUUUGAAAACGGAAUGUCUUCUGCCGGUGUUUCGAGUGUAUGAUUGAUCGAAUUUGUAUUAUUUGGAUG